rnacentral:lncRNA from 1 species
CGGGGCUCUCGCGUGCUCCGCAGUGGUCGGUUUCCGGGGCUCUCGCAUGUUCCGCGUUGGUUGGUUUCCGGGGCUCUCACGUAUUCUGCGUGUGUUGGUUUCCGGGACUCCCACGUGCUCUGUGCGAGUUUCCGAGGCUCUCACGUGCUGUGUGCUCUUCUCCAGGCAUCUCCUUCUUCUCCCACGGUCAGGAUGCCAUGUGCCUGGGAGACAGGAUUACUUUCCAGGCUGCCCCACAGAAGCGCCAUUUCCUCCCUCUUCCACCCUCCUCCGAAGGUUUCAUACCCAACUGCAUGCUGCGGAGGCCCUUCUGCAUAUGGCGACUCUAAGGCAUCACUGGCAAUAUCAUGAAAUAACAUGAGGUAGAGUUUGAUAAAUGGGAUGACAGACCCUGUCCAUCACCAGGAGGCUUAUUGGUCUCUUGGUGCAGAAACAAGCCUGAGACUCACAUCAUUAAAUGUAAGUUACAGCCACAAGCAUGGAAAACCAUUGCUCAAACACCUUGGCAAUAACAGUGGCGUGGUGUGGCUUCGCGUGAGUCUUUUUCUUUUUAAGGGGAAAAAGAAACGUUUUGUUCAGUAAUUGCUCCUGGAUGGGGGCCCAGCCUGCAACAGCUUGGCGUGUGGAAGGCUCUGGUGCCAGGUACAAUGCUGAAGAAUCAGACGCGGAGAGAGAGAGUUGCUCUGAACCGCAAGGCCGGAUAUGAGGUUGAAUCCUGUAGCAUUUUAACCUACAAAACGGACAAUUUCAUAUGGUUUCACUGAUUGGUCCAAGGCACAUUUUGUAGAACCAAGGAAGGAACCAAGCCCAAGAAAAGCAGGGUGGGGAAGCCCUGGGGGCAGAACUCCCCACCACUCCGCAUCCUCCCUGCCCCCACCCUGCACCGGCCACAGCCUGAUUCUUGAGUCUGGGGUCCCAGUAACUUCCCUAGUCUUGAAUUCUUAGCUUCGAUUCAUCCCUCAGGGUUUGGGACUCAUGUUCAAGUCAGCUUUUCAAAGUUGUUCCCGAGGAUAGCGUUGUCUGCCCAUCGAUUUGAGAAGGCCCUUCUGCGACCUUCGGGAACGGGAAAGGUGGCCUGGCACCAACAUGUUCCUUCCGGGCAUGGAGGCCAGGGUGCUGCUGCAUCACCGGGCUCACAAAGUCCGCCGGACCUGCGCGAGGCCCAGCCCUCUGAAAUGCACUCCUUUAAGUUCCUGGGAACUUGUUGGUUUGUCCCCAAUCCCACCCCCUCCCUCUCCUCACGUUCAGGAACGUGCAGCACUUCCUCC